rnacentral:rRNA from 1 species
UACGAAGGACCCGAGCGUUAUCCGGAUUUAUUGGGUUUAAAGGGUGCGUAGGCGGACUGGCAAGUCAGUGGUGAAAUCCUGCAGCUUAACUGUAGAACUGUCAUUGAAACUGCCAAUCUUGAGUACAUUUGAAGCGGGCGGAAUGUGUCAUGUAGCGGUGAAAUGCUUAGAUAUGACACAGAACACCGAUUGCGAAGGCAGCUCGCUAAACUGUCACUGACGCUGAGGCACGAAAGCGUGGGGAUCAAACAGG